rnacentral:rRNA from 1 species
CCUACGGGAGGCAGCAGUGAGGAAUAUUGGUCAAUGGUCGGAAGACUGAACCAGCCAUGCCGCGUGCAGGAAGACGGCCCUAUGGGUUGUAAACUGCUUUUAUAUGGGAAGAAACAAACUUACGUGUAAGUUCCUGACGGUACCAUAUGAAUAAGCACCGGCUAACUCCGUGCCAGCAGCCGCGGUAAUACGGAGGGUGCAAGCGUUAUCCGGAUUUAUUGGGUUUAAAGGGUCCGUAGGCGGACCUAUAAGUCAGUGGUGAAAUCCUGCAGCUCAACUGUAGAACUGCCAUUGAUACUGUAGGUCUUGAAUUCGGUUGAUGUGGGCGGAAUAUGGCAUGUAGCGGUGAAAUGCUUAGAUAUGCCAUAGAACACCGAUUGCGAAGGCAGCUCACAAAGCCUGGAUUGACGCUGAGGGACGAAAGCGUGGGGAGGACGACGAGAGUAGUAUACCUACGUAGUACGACGACCGUAACGAACGUAGAUCACUCACAUAGUAGAUAUAGUUA